GGUGCUGUGGCUCAAGUGGUAGAGCGCUAGCCUUGCAUGCCCGAGGCCCUGGGUUCGAUUCCUCAGCACCA
rnacentral:tRNA from 1 species